rnacentral:rRNA from 1 species
AGCCUGAACGCUGGCGGCGUGGCUAAGACAUGCAAGUCGUACGGGGUCCGCAAGGAUCCAGUGGCGAACGGGUGAGUAAUGUAUCGCUAACGUACCCCUGUGUCCGGGAUAGCUGGGGGAAACUCCAGGUAAUACCGGGUGACAUCACUUUCUCGCAUGAGAAGGUGCUCAAAGGGAAACCGCAAAGGGAGCGGGCGAUAUCGUAUCAGCUAGUUGGUGAGGUAACGGCUCACCAAGGCUAUGACGCGUAGCCGGACUGAGAGGUCGGACGGCCACAUUGGGACUGAGACACUGCCCAGACUCCUACGGGGGGCUGCAGUAACGAAUCUUCCGCAAUGCACGCAAGUGUGACGGAGCGACGCCGCGUGUGGGACGAAGUCCUUCGGGAUGUAAACCACUGUCAGGGUUACCAAGUUCUGAGGACCCCAGAGGAAGGCACGGCUAACUCUGCGCCAGCAGCCGC